UACGUAGGUGGCAAGCGUUGUCCGGAUUUACUGGGCGUAAAGAGCGCGCAGGCGGUCGUUCAAGUCGCGUGUGAAAGCCCCCGGCUCAACUGGGGAGGGUCACGCGAUACUGAUCGACUGGAAGGCAGGAGAGGGUAGUGGAAUUCCCGGUGUAGUGGUGAAAUGCGUAGAUAUCGGGAGGAACACCAGUGGCGAAGGCGACUACCUGGCCUGUUCUUGACGCUGAGGAGCGAAAGCGUGGGUAGCAAACAGG
rnacentral:rRNA from 1 species